UUAAAUUGAAGAGUUUGAUCAUGGCUCAGAUUGAACGCUGGCGGCAGGCCUAACACAUGCAAGUCGAACGGUAACAGGAAACAGCUUGCUGUUUCGCUGACGAGUGGCGGACGGUGAG
rnacentral:rRNA from 1 species